rnacentral:SRP_RNA from 1 species
UCGUGCUAAGCGGGGAGGUAGCGGUGCCCUGUACUCGCAAUCCGCUAUAGCGAGGCCGAAGCCCUUCUAGAGGUUCUGAUGUUGUGGGGUCUGCCUUAAGUAAGUAGUGUUGACAUUCGGGUCCCGCGCAACGGAAACUCAUGAACCCUGUCAGGUCCGGAAGGAAGCAGCAGUAAGUGAGACCUUUCGUGUGCCGUGGGGUUGCCUGGAUCGAGCCAACUGCUUAAGAAGCGCUCAUGAUGUCAGGAUCGACGGAAGGUGCACGA